GACGAACGCUGGCGGCGCGCUUAACACAUGCAAGUCGAACGGAAAGGCCUGCUUUCCCUUGUGGAUUGCGGGUACUCGAGUGGCGAACGGGUGAGUAACACGUGAGUGAUCUGCCCCCAACUUGGGUAUAAGCCUGGGAAACUGGGUCUAAUUCCCGAUAGGACUGCAGGGUGGUGCCUGUGGUGGAAAACGAUUUUCUAGUGGUUGGGGAUGAGCUCGCGGCCUAUCAGCUUGUUGGUGGGGUAAUGGCCUACCAAGGCGGCGACGGGUAGCCGGCCAGGGAGGGUGGACGGCCACGUUGGGACUGAGAUACGGCCCAGGAUCCUACGGGAGGCAGCAGUGGGGAAUAUUGCACAAUGGGCGGAAGCCUGAUGCAGGGACGCCGCGUGGGGGAUGACGGCCUUCGGGUUGUAAACUCCUUUCGACCGCGAGGAAGCCACCUGGUUGGAAGGGUGGUGACGGUAGUGGUAGAAGAAGCACCGGCUAACUACGUG
rnacentral:rRNA from 1 species